AUGUGGUGCCGGCUGCCGGCGACCGCCGGCAGUAGAGCGGUGGCCAGGCCGCUGGCCUUGCUCUGGCGAUGUGGUGGCCCAGGAGGUGGCAGGACGGUCAAGACCAGCGCGAGGGUCCUGGGCAGGGCCCGACAGUGGUUGUGGCCAGUGAGAAUGUGCAGUGUUGUAUUGCAGAAGAAGCUAAUAAGCUUAUCUGGUCUCUUGUUUCAGUGCCUCUAGGGGAUCCACGUUCAGAAGCUGACUCUGCAGGCGAGACCAACGUUAUUUUCCCGGUGGCUGUGUUCAAAACCACCCAAAGGGUUUGAGAAAUACUUUAAGAGGAGUGGAAGGAACAAACUCAGAAACAUCAACAGCACCAAAAAAAGAGACUGGUGAACUAGAGAAUGCCGAGUCUGGAGGAGAUGGAGGCAGGAGAGGAGGGAAGCGGGAUGACGUUGCCUGGUGGAGGCGGAUGCAGAAGGGGACUUCUGCAAUCUGGCCCUUUUGGGGGCAGGCGUUGCCAUGGGAUUUUUCUACCUCUAUUUUCGAGAUCCUGGAAGAGAAAUCACUUGGAAGCACUUUGUAUAGUAUUACCUGGCCAGAGGUCUGGUGGACCAGCUGGAAAUCCUGAACAAUUUGUGCGUGUUAUUCCUGCCCCUGGGAUCUCUUCUGAAAAGUUCAUGUGGUUUAACAUUGGCAGUGUUGAUACCUUCGAGCGGAACCUGGAGUCUGCUCAAGGGGAGCUGGGGAUUGAGCCCCGCAACCAGGCAGCGGUAGUCUACACCAGCGAGAGUGACGGCUUUUUCUUGUGAAGCCUGGUGCCCACCCUUCUCCUGGUUGGCAUUCUCCUCUAUGCUGCCAGGAGGGGCCUUAUGGGAUCCAGGCGCAGUAGAUGAGGAGGGGGCCUCUUCAGUGUUGGUGAGACAACAGCCAAGAUCUUAGAAAGCAACAUCGAUGUGCGAUUUGCAGACGUAGCUGGGUGCGAAGAAGCCAAAUUGGAAAUUACGGAAUUUGUGAAUUUCCUGAAGAAUCUCAAGCAGUAUCAGGACUUAGGAGCAAAAAUUCCAAAGGGAGCCAUGCUCAUUGGUCCUCCUGGUACCGGCAAGACCCUUCUUGCCAAAGCAACUGCAGGGGAGGCCACUGUGCCCUUCAUCACUGUGAACGGGUCUGAGUUCCUGGAAAUGUUUGUUGGCGUUGGGCCAGCAAGGGUUCGUGACAUGUUUGCAAUGGCCCGAAAAAAUGCUCCAUGUAUCUUAUUCAUUGAUGAGAUUGAUGCGAUUGGCAGGAAGCGAGGCCAAGGGCACUUUGGAGGCCAGAGUGAUCAGGAGAGCACCCUGAACCAGAUGCUUGUGGAGAUGGAUGGGUGCAACUCUGCCACCAACGUCGUGACGUUGGCUGGCACCAAAUGCCCUGGCAUCCUGGACCCGGCCCUGAUGCGGCCUGGCCGGUUUGAUCGCCAGAUUUACAUUGGUCCCCCUGACAUCAAAGGCAGGGUCCUCCAUCUUUAAGGUCCACCUACGCCCACUGAAGCUGGACGAGAGCCUCAAUAAGGAUGUCCUGGCGAGGAAGCUGGCAGCGCUCACCCCAGGCUUCACUGUGCUGAUAUUUCGAAUGUUUGCAGUGAAGCAGCCCUGAUUGCUGAGCCCUUCUGUUCAGGAGAGUCCUUCUGAGUCCUUCUGUUCAGGAGAAACACUUUCAGCAGGCCAUUGAGAGUGUCAUUGGAGGUCUUGAGAAGAAGACCCAGGUCCUGCAGCCUGGUGAAAAGACAACUGUGGCCUACCACGAGGCCGGACACGCGGUGGUGGGCUGGUUCCUGGAGCACGUGGAGCCCCCUGCUGAAGGUGUCCAUCAUCCCCCGGGGCAAGGGGCUCGGCUACGCACAGUACCUGCCCCGGGAGCAGCAGCUCUACACCCAGCAGCAGCUCUUCGACCGCAUGUGCAUGAUGCUUGGGGGCCGGGUGGCUGAGCAGCUAUGCUUCGGGCAGAUCACUACGGGGGCUCAGGAUGACCUGAGGAAGGUCACCCAGAGCGCCUACGCCCAGGUAAGGGUGGGCAUCCCCCCGCACGGGCUGCAGGAGGCUAUGUUGGGCGCAGGCUCAUCCCGGGUUCCGCACUUGCAGAUUGUGCAGUUUGGGAUGAGUGAGAAGCUGGGCCAGGUGUCCUUCGACUUUCCCCGACAAGGCAAGGCCCUGGUGGAGAAGCCGUACAGCGAGGCAACCGCCCAGCUCAUUGAUGAGGAGGUCCGGCACCUCGUCAGUGCCGCCUACAAGCACACCCUGGACCUGCUGACACAGUGCCGGGAGCAUGUGGAGAAGGUGGGCCAGCGGCUCCUGGAGAAGGAAGUGCUGGAGAAGGCAGACAUGGAGCUGCUGGGCCCCCGGCCAUUCGCGGAGGAGUCUACCUAUGAGGAGUUUGUGGAGGGCAUGGGCAGCCUGGAGGAGGACACAUCCCUACCCGAGGGGCUGAAGGGUUGGAACCGGGGACAGGAGGAGGAAGAUGUGGAGCAGCGUGUGCGGGGGGCUCUGCAUAG
rnacentral:sRNA from 1 species